rnacentral:ribozyme from 1 species
AAUGUGCAUCUCGGCAAAAAGAAAACAAAAAGGAAAAAAAAAAAAAAAGAAAAAAGAAGAAUAUCAGUCAAAGGAAUGACCCUAGU